UACGGAGGGGGCUAGCGUUGUUCGGAAUUACUGGGCGUAAAGCGUACGUAGGCGGCUUUGUAAGUUAGAGGUGAAAGCCCGGGGCUCAACUCCGGAAUUGCCUUUAAGACUGCAUCGCUUGAAUCAUGGAGAGGUGAGUGGAAUUCCGAGUGUAGAGGUGAAAUUCGUAGAUAUUCGGAAGAACACCAGUGGCGAAGGCGACUCACUGGACAUGUAUUGACGCUGGGGGUACGAAAGCGUGGGGAGCAAACAGG
rnacentral:rRNA from 1 species